CAUUAAUCAGACCGAUCAUAACCUACGGCUGCCCAAUCUGGUACAACAUAUCAGCCUCCCAAAUGGAAAAAAUUCACAUAUUCGAAAGAAAAUGCAUCAGGGCUUGCUUGAGUACAUACAGAUCCGAACACAGCGGAUUCAAAAAAUAUGUAAAAAACAAAAUAAUUUACGACCUAGCCAACAUUCACCGCAUAGACUGUCACAUCCUAAAGCUAAUAAGAAACCACUUCGCGCAAGCGGCAAAAAUAAACGAAAAUAGCUUAAUCUUCAAUUGCCUAUUUCCUAACAACGCAUAUUACAAAAACACUCUGACAACAGGCUGCAUCCCCCAGAAGCUUUCCGAUACCUAGACGAAAAAAACUACCUCCAGGACCAAAAUAAUAUUCCAAUAAUCUAUCACAUAAAAAGAAAAAUAGGGAUCAAAACUAUACUCUACGAAGAAAACUUAAAUGGACAGACCGCAGACACUAGGUGGAGAUACAACAUGGCCCUCCCCCUGAAAGACACUAAAGACAAACACAGAAAAAA